AAAAGAAAAAAUUGGAAUGAUGCAGAGAAGAUAAGCAUGGCCUCUAUGCAAGGAUGACAUACAAAUUUGUGAAGAGUUCCAUAUUUAA
rnacentral:snRNA from 1 species